rnacentral:misc_RNA from 1 species
UGGGCGUGUCUGAGGAGAC